rnacentral:rRNA from 1 species
GGGUCAGUAGGUUGGUCGUGCCACCGGUACGUACUGGUCUCACUGAUUCCUCCUCCCUGAAGAACCGUAAUGCCAUUAAUUUGGUGUUGCGGGGAAACAGGACUAUUACUUUGAAAAAAUUAGAGUGUUCAAAGCAAGCUAACGCUUGAAUACAUUAGCAUGGAAUAAUGAAAUAGGACGAUCGGUCCUAUUUUGUUGGUUUCUAGGAUUGACGUA